rnacentral:rRNA from 1 species
GGUUAAAAAGCUCGUAGUUGGAUCUCGGCAAGUAGAGGGCGGUAUGCUUCGUAGCAUUACUGCCCUAUUACUUGUAGUUUUGCCAGAGGUUCCUGGGUGCUCUUAAUCGAGUGUCUAGGGAUGCUGGCAGGUUUACUUUGAAAAAAUUAGAGUGCUCAAAGCAGGCUAUUACGCUUGAAUAUUCGUGCAUGGAAUAAUAGAAUAGGAAGUUGUUCCUAUUUUGUUGGUUUUCGGAAAUCGACUUAAUGAUUAAUAGGGACAGUCGGGGGCAUUUGUAUUCAAACGACAGAGGUGAAAUUCUUGGACCGUUUGAAGACAAACUACUGCGAAAGCAUUUGCCAAGAAUGUUUUCAUUAAUCAAGAACGAAAGUUAGAGGUUCGAAGGCGAUUAGAUACCGCCCUAGUUCUAACCAUAAACGAUGCCAGCUAGCGAUCUGAGGACGUUUUUUUUGUAGACUCCUCAGGAAGCUUCCGGGAAACCAAAGCGUGUGGGUUCCGGGGGAAGUAUGGUUGCAAAGCUGAAACUUAAAGGAAUUGACGGAAGGGCACCACCAGGAGUGGAGCCUGCGGCUUAAUUUGACUCAACACGGGAAAUCUCACCAGGCCCGGACACUGGAAGGAUUGACAGAUUGAGAGCUCUUUCUCGAU